CCAGAGAACUUUCCAGAGAUGGAUUGGUGCCUUCGGGAACUCUGAGACAGGUGCUGCAUGGCUGUCGUCAGCUCGUGUUGUGAAAUGUUGGGUUAAGUCCCGCAACGAGCGCAACCCUUAUCCUUUGUUGCCAGCGGUCCGGCCGGGAACUCAAAGGAGACUGCCAGUGAUAAACUGGAGGAAGGUGGGGAUGACGUCAAGUCAUCAUGGCCCUUACGAGUAGGGCUACACACGUGCUACAAUGGCGCAUACAAAGAGAAGCGACCUCGCGAGAGCAAGCGGACCUCAUAAAGUGCGUCGUAGUCCGGAUUGGAGUCUGCAACUCGACUCCAUGAAGUCGGAAUCGCUAGUAAUCGUGGAUCAGAAUGCCACGGUGAAUACGUUCCCGGGCCUUGUACACACCGCCCGUCACACCAUGGGAGUGGGUUGCAAAAGAAGUAGGUAGCUUAACCUUCGGGAGGGCGCUUACCACUUUGUGAUUCAUGACUGGGGUGAAGUCGUAACAAGGUAGGCGUAGUGCU
rnacentral:rRNA from 1 species